UACGGAGGGUGCAAGCGUUAUCCGGAUUCACUGGGUUUAAAGGGUGCGUAGGUGGGCAGGUAAGUCAGUGGUGAAAUCUCCGGGCUUAACCCGGAAACUGCCAUUGAUACUAUCUGUCUUGAAUACCCUGGAGGUGAGCGGAAUAUGUCAUGUAGCGGUGAAAUGCUUAGAAUAUGACAUAGAACACCCAUUGCGAAAGGCAGCUCACUACGGGAAUAUUGACACUGAGGCACGAAAGCGUGGGGAGUCAAACAGGGA
rnacentral:rRNA from 1 species